rnacentral:rRNA from 1 species
UACAGAGGUCUCAAGCGUUGUUCGGAUUCAUUGGGCGUAAAGGGUGCGUAGGCGGCGCGGUAAGUCGGGUGUGAAAUCUUGGAGCUUAACUCCGAAACUGCAUUCGAUACUGCCGUGCUUGAGGACUGGAGAGGAGACUGGAAUUUACGGUGUAGCGGUGAAAUGCGUAGAUAUCGGGAGGAACACCAGUGGCGAAGGCGGCACUCUGGGCCGGUACUGACGCUGAGGAGCGAAAGCGUGGGGAGCGAACAGG